rnacentral:misc_RNA from 1 species
ACUAUCUCAUCAAAAUGGUUUAAUACCUCCACAGAUGAUGCCACAACUGCAGCCGCAGCAGCAUAGACUGCACCAUCCAAUUCAGCCAUCAUUAAGCCAUUUAUCAGGCAUGCAGUCUCAACUAUUUAGUCCUCAUCUUUCUUCACCGCCACCCAUGAUGAGCAAGUUUGAAGUGCUUGGUCUGGGUGAUAUUAGAGAUCAAAGACCAAAUCAAAAUCUGCGUUAUUCUCAACAGGGAUUUG